ACCUGCCCAUUGAGAUUUGAAAGGCCGCGGUAUUAUGACCGUGCUAAGGUAGCAUAAUCAUUAGUCUUUUAAUUGGAGGCUGGAAUGAAUGGUCGGACAAGAGAUAAGCUGUCUUAAGUGAAAAUAUUGAAUUUAACUUUUAAGUGAAAAGGCUUAAAUCUUCUAGGGGGACGAUAAGACCCUAUAAAACUUUAUAUUUUGAAAUAAUAAUUAAUUUUGUGUGGAAGUUUUAUUUUUAAGUAUUUUAUUGGGGUGAUAAGGAUAAAAUAACAAGUAACUGUCUUUUUUUAUUACAAUAAUAUUUGAGCAAAUGAACCUGAUAAGGGAAAGAAGAUUAAGUUACUUUAGGGAUAACAGCGUAAUUUUUUUUUAAGAGUUCUUAUCGACAAAAAAGUUUGCGACCUCGAUGUUGAAUUAAAAAUUCUUUAUGGAGCAGAAACUAUAAAAGAAGGUCUGUUCGACCUUUAAAAUUUUAC
rnacentral:rRNA from 1 species